AUACGGAGGGUCCAAGCGUUAUCCGGAAUCAUUGGGUUUAAAGGGUCCGCAGGCGGUCAAUUAAGUCAGAGGUGAAAGCCCAUCGCUCAACGAUGGAACUGCCUUUGAUACUGGUUGACUUGAGUUAUACGGAAGUAGAUAGAAUAAGUAGUGUAGCGGUGAAAUGCAUAGAUAUUACUUAGAAUACCGAUUGCGAAGGCAGUCUACUACGUAUAUACUGACGCUGAGGGACGAAAGCGUGGGGAGCGAACAGGAUUAGAAACCCUGGUAGUCC
rnacentral:rRNA from 1 species